GCAUAAUCAAUAGUUUUUUAAUUGAAAACUGGAAUGAAGGGUAGUUACUAAAAAGAAAGUUUUAUUAAAAGUUUUUGAAUUUAAAUUAAAAGUAAAAAUGCUUUUGUUAUUUCUUGGGACGAGAAGACCUUAGAAGCUUUUUGAAAUUAUAAAAAUUUUUGGAUUGGGGCAAUUUAUGAAAAAAUUAAUUUUUAUUUAGUUAUAAAUAAAUGAAAAAUAAGUUACUCUAGGGAUAACAGCGUUAUUUAGUUAACAAGUUCUUAUUAAUAAUUAAGUCUGCGACCUCGAUGUUGAAUUAAUA
rnacentral:rRNA from 1 species